CCUACGGGAGGCAGCAGUGGGGAAUCUUGCUCAAUGGGCGAAAGCCUGAAGCAGCAACGCCGCGUGCGGGAUGAAGGCCCUCGGGUUGUAAACCGCUUUCAGCAGGAACGAAUCUGACGGUACCUGCAGAAGAAGGUCCGGCCAACUACGUGCCAGCAGCCGCGGUAACACGUAGGGACCAAGCGUUGUCCGGAUUUAUUGGGCGUAAAGAGCUCGUAGGCGGUUCAGUCAGUCGGGUGUGAAAACUUCGGGCUUAACUCGAAGCAUGCAUCCGAUACUGCUGUGACUUGAGUCCGGUAGGGGAGUGGGGAAUUCCUGGUGUAGCGGUGAAAUGCGCAGAUAUCAGGAGGAACACCGGUGGCGAAGGCGCCACUCUGGGCCGGUACUGACGCUGAGGAGCGAAAGCGUGGGUAGCAAACAGGAUUAGAUACCCUGGUAGUCCACGCUGUAAACGUUGGGCACUAGGUGUGGGCUCUAACCACGGAGUCCGUGCCGCAGCUAACGCAUUAAGUGCCCGCCUGGGGAUACGGCCGCAAGGUUAAACCUUAAGGAAUUGACGG
rnacentral:rRNA from 1 species